AAAACUUUCAACAACGGAUCUCUUGGCUCUGGCAUCGAUGAAGAACGCAGCGAAAUGCGAUAAGUAAUGUGAAUUGCAGAAUUCAGUGAAUCAUCGAAUCUUUGAACGCACAUUGCGCCCGCCAGUAUUCUGGCGGGCAUGCCUGUUCGAGCGUCAUUUCAACCCU
rnacentral:rRNA from 1 species